AGCUUUGCGCAGUGGCAGUAUCGUAGCCAAUGAGGUUUAUCCGAGGCGCGAUUAUUGCUAAUUAAAAUUGCCCAACACAGUUUCUGUAGAGGGAAGGGAGCAGUUAUUUUUCUCAGUGAGUUCCUGUAAUUUUAGCUAAU